CAGAUCAUUACAUGAAGGAACCUUUUAAAACAAGCGCGUUCAUGCUCACAGGUGUACGCACGGGUGAUCACACACACAAACUACACCCUUUUUGGCUCUUACCUCAAAGCACACUGUGCGCUGUCGAUCUCACGUGCUGCACAAUAAUGUUUAAUAUUUAGUAUUUACUGUCAUAUUCCCAUAGAUCAUUGUGAUCUUGUUUAUUACUCUCGUUUUCUUCUGCUUGCUUUCUUUUUUCUUUCCCAACAGGUGAUCCAGGUGAUCGAUAUAUGUAUUUUUUGUCUGCUUAUUCUGUUGGUUUUUGUUUUUUGCCCUUUUUCCCCGUCCCUCUUCUCAGCUGGUUUUCUUUCCCUCUUUCUUUCUCCCCUUUCUUUCCACCAGGCAAGUCUGUCCCGUAUUCAGCAAGUGAAAAUAAAAUAAACAAUAAAAGAAGCAGAGCGACACAGAUGGAUCCAGAUCUCAACCCUGCCGUCACUGUGGUGGUGGGAAACCGUUUCGUUGUGACCUUUGUGGAAAAACUUUCAACUGGCAAACAAACCUAAUGAUGCACCAUCGUCGACAUACUGGACACAAAUUGCACUAUUGCGAAGAAUGUGGGAAAGGCUUCCCCACACCAGAUAAACUAAAACGCCAUGAACUCAUCCACAGUGGGGUUAAAGAGCACCUCUGUGAUCAGUGUGGGUCAUCCUUCACCACUGCAGAUCAGCUUAAAGUGCAUGAACGUGUCCACACAGGAGAGAAACCAUACAAGUGCAGACACUGUGACAAAAGGUUUUCACGGUCAGAUAAACGUAACCGUCAUGAACAUACGCAUGCCAACAAGAACUGCAGCAGGAAUCCCAGUUUGUAGUCCAAACAUAGUCCAUUCUGGAAAUAAACUGUUGCACCAGAAAGUUGAUUCUGUUCAUCUGGAUGCAGCGUUUUCAGUAGGAGGAGCGUUUCAUCACUCAUCCGUCAUGUCCUCUUCAGUGUAGGAUGACUGCAGUUUUCCACAGUCUUAAAAAAAAGCAGUUGCGUAAUGACUCGAAUUGGCACCAGGACCUGACAGUAAGCUGUGGAAACAGUUUCAUGAUCAUUAAUAUGCAAAUUAUUAUGACAGAUGUUCAGUCUGUAGCAGCUGACUGGUGAACUGGCAUUUAUUUGCAGCACAGUUAGAGCGGUUAGCUGGUUCCAGUUUGACUUUGGGACCGCAACUUUGGCCUUAACAUAAACUUUGGCUGUGAAGGGCAGUUUGAAACAGAAGGAGAACUUCCUGUAUUUAGUGUUCUUGUUGGAGGUGUUCUUUGGAACUUAAUGUUUACCCUCUUGUGUGUUUCACCUUACAACAGGGAUAAGGAACGCCAGGUCUUGAGAGCCGGUGUCCUGCAGGUUUUAGAUCUCACCCUGGGUCAACACACCUGAAUCAAAUGAUUAGUUCAUUACCAGGCCUCUGGAGAACUUCAAGACAUGUUGAGGAGCUAAUUUAGCCAUUUAAAUCAGCUGUGAUGGAUCAAGGACACAUCUAAAACCUGCAGGCUCUCGAGGCCUGGCGUUCCCUACCCCUGCCAUACAAGCCUUCAUCAGGGAGCGAACUUAUGACCACACCAUCAGAAUAAAGGUUUUUAUAAUUAAGACAUUUUUAAAUGUCUAGUUUGAGCUACUUUGGUUUCUACAACCUUGAAGUCAUCAUGUCAUUUUUGAGAACAAAUACAUUGAGCCAUGGUUACACUUGCUGUAUUUCAAUGUAAAGAGUGAGGAAAAAGUGAGAAAUGGAAACAUGUUUACAUUUAGAGUGACUGUUUAUCAGAGGAGGACACCUGGCUGUUCUCCACUCAGCUCAUUAGAAGCUCUGACAUUAAAUUUGACAAAUAAAUAAGGUAAUAGAGUUCAAAGAUGAUGUGUUUAAGAUGUCAAAAGGAUUCAUUUUCAUUAAAAAAAUACAAAGAA
ensembl:lncRNA